rnacentral:misc_RNA from 1 species
GGUAAAUUUGCAACCAUGACACGGUGUAAAUUUUCUUUAUUUUCUGCCACACAAUGUUCCUACAUGAGGUAAUAAGCACACAGACAAUACAUAAAUUGUCAGCUUAUUUCUCAUCUGUAACAAAUAAAUAUCCAAGAUCAAUUACACCUUUCAAAAACCCACUAAGCUCAAGGUUUUAAAAUCAUAAAGAAAAGCAAAAACCCGAAACAAAUAUAUAGUGAAACUCCUGAUAAUGCAAAUUUACCACUCAGAAUACUAAAAUAAGAGAUGAAGCAAAGAAUGCUCCAAUAGAACCAGUGAAACUUAUAAAUGU